CACGUAGGGGGCAAGCGUUGUCCGGAAUCAUUGGGCGUAAAGAGCUCGUAGGCGGCUCAGUAAGUCGGGUGUGAAACCCUCAGGCUCAACCUGGGGACGCCACCCGAUACUGCUGUGGCUAGAGUCCAGUAGGGGAGUGUGGAAUUCCCGGUGUAGCGGUGAAAUGCGCAGAUAUCGGGAGGAACACCGGUGGCGAAGGCGGAUCUCUGGGCCGUAACUGACGCUGAGGAGCGAAAGCAUGGGGAGCGAACAGG
rnacentral:rRNA from 1 species